CUGGUUGAUCCUGCCAGUAGUGUAUGCUUUUCCUAAAGAUUAAGCCAUGCAUGCCUAAGACUAUGAGGAAGCAAUUCUCUCUGAAUCUGCGAACGGCUCCGCAAACCAGUUGUAAACCAUAGCAGUGUUCCGCCCGGCUUCAGCAAUGGAGUCGGGCAUUAUAUGGAUAACCGUGGUAAUUCUGAGGCUAAUACAUGACACACAUAACCUGGCGGGCUGGGGCAACCCGGCUUGCUGGGGGACGUGCGAUUCAGCAGUGCUAUAACAAAUAACGGGAAUGAGCGCACGUUCAGACCGCCAUCCAAACGGGUGAAGGGGGGCUCCGGCUUCUUCGAUCUCGGGCGGCCUCUGCAACGGGCUUCUGACCUAUCAACUAGACGGCAGCGUAAGGGACAUGCUAUGGCAACAACGGGUACAGAGGAUUAGGGUUCGAUCCUGGAGAGUGGGCCUGAGAGAUUGCUCAUACUUCUAAGGAAGGCAGCAGGCGCGCAACGUUCCCCUUGGGCAAAGCUCGAGGGCGUUAUGGGAAAUAUGAAUGCUUGCCUAUACGGUGGGCAAUUCAAAUGGGUUUGUCGUAAACAGGCUCUCGAGUAACAAUUAGAGGACAAGUCUGGUGCCAGCACCCGCGGUAAUUCCAGCUCUAAUAGCAUACGUUAAAGUUGUUGCGGUUAAAACGCUCGUAGUCGGCUUUAGAUCGUCAGAAGCCUGGCUCGGGACUUGGGGUCUGUGUUCUCGCAAGAGAGUGCGCCCGGGUUCUGGGCUGGGUAGGCGGCGGUCAAUAGUGCCCAGUGGCGUGCCCGGCUUCGGUCGCGGCUUACAGGGCCUUCGGGGUAUGGACUAGGUCUUUCGGGGCCCGGUUCUCCCGUUGGUCUGGCUCUGGGUACCAUUUACCAUGAUUAAACCGGCGUGAUCAAGGCAAACCGUUGAGGUCACUGCACGGCUUAGCAUGGCAUAAAGCACACAGGCCGGGUGGGAUAGUAGCAGUCCUGCUCGGUCUAUUCGCGAAAGGGGUGUUCGGGGGCAGCCGAAUUGCCGGGCUAGUGGUGAAAUACGUUGACCCUGGCAAGUCGACCGAAAGCGAAAGCAGCUGUCAAGGGCACACCCGUUGAUCAAGAGCGAAAGUUAAGGGUUCGAAGACGAUCAGAUACCGUCGUAGUCUUAACUAUAAAUGAUACUGGCCAGGGAUAGGGCAAUGUCCAUCUCGACUCCCCCCGGACCUUUGGGAAACCAAAGCCUAUGAGUUCUGGGGGGAGUAUGGUCGCAAGGCUGAAACUUAAAGGAAUUGACGGAAG
rnacentral:rRNA from 1 species